rnacentral:tRNA from 2 species
GCGGGAAUGGCGGAACUGGCAGACGCACUUGAUUUAGGCUCAAGAUAUUGAGGGUUCGACUCCCUUUUCCCGUA